rnacentral:piRNA from 1 species
UCUCCCAUGCUCCAGAGGUCAGACCACU